AAGCGGUGGAUGAUGUGGUUUAAUUCGAUGCAACGCGAAAACCUUACCCGCCUUUGACAUGUACGGAAUCCUUUAGAGAUAGAGGAGUGCUCGAAAGAGAGCCGUAACACAGGUGCUGCAUGGCUGUCGUCAGCUCGUGUCGUGAGAUGUUGGGUUAAGUCCCGCAACGAGCGCAACCCUUGUCAUUAGUUGCUACGAAAGGGCACUCUAAUGAGACUGCCGGUGACAAACCGGAGGAAGGUGGGGAUGACGUCAAGUCCUCAUGGCCCUUAUAGGUGGGGCUACACACGUCAUACAAUGGCUGGUACAAAGGGUUGCCAACCCGCGAGGGGGAGCCAAUCCCAUAAAGCCAGUCGUAGUCCGGAUCGCAGUCUGCAACUCGACUGCGUGAAGUCGGAAUCGCUAGUAAUCGUGGAUCAGCAUGUCACGGUGAAUACGUUCCCGGGUCUU
rnacentral:rRNA from 1 species